AUACGUGUUGGUGCCCAUGUCACAUUCGUCACUAGCACCUAUGCCAGUGAGCGCAUGGCCAAAACCCCAACCAUGGAUGGGUUAAAAUUCGUCACAUUCCCGGAUGGCUGCGACAGUGGCCUCAAGCAAAGCGAUGCCCUCCAAGGCUUCAUGUCUGAGCUUGAGCGUCUUGGCUCCCAAGCUCUUACCGACCUCCUCAUAGCCAGCGCUAAUGAAGGUCGUCCCGUUGCUUGCAUAAUCUACGGCAUCCUGAUUCCUUGGGUAGCAGAGGUGGCGCAUAGUCUUCACAUCCCCUCCGCACUUUUUUGGAGUCAACCUGUCUCUGUUUUUAAUAUCUAUUAUUAUUAUUUUUGUGGCUAUGGAGAGCUCAUUCGCAAGAAAGUCCGUGACUCCUCGCCUUCCAUUGAAUUACCAGGACUGCCCUUGCUCAGUAGCCGUGACAUUCCCUGUUUCCUACUCCCCUCAAAUGCAAAUGAAUACAACUUCGUCCUUUCAGCGUUUGAGAAGCACCUAGAGAUGCUCCACCGUGAUACCAACCCAACGGUACUGAUAAACACUUUCGAUGCAUUGGAACCAGAGGCCCUAAGGGCCGUCAGUAAGUUUAAGUCGAUUGGAGUUGGACCCUUGUUUCCAACCGCUUUCUUGGGUGGAAAAGAUCCAUCCGAUACUUCAUUUGGAGGUGAUCUUUUCCGUCGUUCAAAGGAUUAUAUUGAAUGGCUGAACUCAAAGCCUGAAUCUUCUGUCAUUUACGUGUCAUUUGGAAGCCUAGCGGUGUUAUCGAAGCAACAGUCUGAGGAGAUUGCUCGUGGAUUGCUGGACAGUGGCCGGCCUUUCCUGUGGGUCAUAAGAGCCAAGGAGAAGGGAGAAGAAGAGAAAGAAGAAGAUAAACUAAGUUGCUACGCAGAAUUAGAACAACAAGGGAUGAUAGUACCAUGGUGUUCUCAGGUUGAGGUUCUCUCAAAUCCAUCACUGGGUUGUUUCGUGACUCAUUGUGGGUGGAAUUCAACCUUGGAGAGCUUGGCUUCUGGGGUGCCAGUUGUGGCAUUUCCUCAGUGGACCGACCAAUCCACGAAUGCAAAGCUAGCCGAAGACGUGUGGAAAACGGGUGUACGGGUGACCGUGAACCAAGAAGGAAUAGUUGAAAGCGAUGAGAUUAAGAGGUGCUUGGAAUUGGUCAUGGGAGAUGGAGAGGAGGCGAAAGAAAUGAGAAGGAAUGCAAAGAAAUGGAAGGGUUUGGCAAGGGAGGCUGUGAUGGAAGGUGGAUCAUCUGACAAGAAUCUUAAGAAUUUUAUGGAUGAGGUCAUACAAGGUUACUAGCUAGAUAUUGUGGUUGUAUCUCUUGGAGUUUAUGUUAAGACUCCCCGAUUAAUUUAAAUAUUUUACAAGAAGAUUUUUAUUAUUUAUGAUGUUAAUACAAGUAGUAGUAUUAAUUAAUGGUAGAGGGCAUAUCUAAAAUUAUGGGAGAUUCAUUGCUUCCUGAAGGCCCUAUCACAAAGGAUCUGUCAAAUGCGUGGCUAAGGUGCUGUUUGGUAAAUGUCCGUUACCAGCCAAAAUUUUGCAAUUAUUGCUAAUGGGAAUCAGGGAAACCCCAAACUGGCCUUGAUGGUCCUUGCGUAAAGACCCAUCCAAUUCUUUACAUUGUGGCCACUGAUUUGGUGUCUUAUCCUCUCAUGCCCAUCACUUCAUGUUUACAAAUUGAUAUUGUAUUCAUAGCUAUUUUUGAUGAAGGUUCAAUUGGCAAGAAGUAUUUUUGCCUUGGGAAGAUGUUGGUUAUGGAUUCAAAGCAAAAUAACAGAUUAAAAAAAUGAUCCUUGUACAAAUUUUUGGGUGCCUCUAUUAAUUAAGUGAAUAUUAUUAUUUAAUUGAUAAAUUAAUAAUUUAUUAAUUUAAUUACUUAUUAAUUAAAUCUCUGGAAUAAUUCUAUUAUGGAACCUAUCUUGCACUAAGAAGCAUCCAUAGCGAUAAUAAUAUUAAAUAAAUUUUUGUUAUAGUACGAGAAUGUUACAUCAGACCUUUUUUUUUUUUUUUUUUUUUUCAUAUUAGGAAUAGUUGAAGAUGAGAUUCAAGUAAACAUCAGUUUUAAGAAGAAAUAACACAUAUAUUUUAAGAAGGAUUCUUGAUAAAACAUAUGAAUUUAAUUACACAUUAGAAAAUUAUUAAUUUCUAUAAUAUGUGGAUUUUAUAUGAAACUACAUAGAUUUUUUAUUUUAUAAAUUUAUCAAAUUAUUAGUUUAGCACGGUGGCCCCAAGUUUAGAUUAAUUAAAAAAAAUUAAUUGAAGUUCUUAAUUAAUUAAAUAUUAAAUUAUUAUAAAGUUUUAUUGUAUUUUAUUUUCAUGGUUCUAAAAAUUGGAUUGAACUAGUCGAUUUGAUUGGUUUGAGCAUUGAUUGACUAUGUAUUUUACAUAUGAGAUCGAUUAUGAGUUGCACUUUCAUCCCAAGGUAUUUUAAAAUUAGGAAAAUCAAUCCCAAGGUAUCUAUUUUUCUUUUCUUAGUCUAUUCACUAUUGUCCAAACACUCCAUAUGUGGAAUGUGGAAUGUAACUUGGAGGGGCUUGAAUAUGCAGAGUUUUAUAACUUUGCACAUUAAUGUCUCAAAGUGUUAAAAUCUUUUACAACUAAUUGUAGAUAAGUUUAGUAUUGACAAAUAAUUUUAUUACAAUUAAAUAAAAUAUUAGAAUUUUUUUAUUAUCCUACUAAUUUUAUGACAAUCAAAUUUAUACAAAAGUAAUUCUUGGUGUCUCGUGUUACUAAAAACAGAAACUCACUUAAGAACUCAUCACGCCUUUGGUGGAGAAAGAUACUUCAUGGGAUGCUAGUAUUAAUUCUCAAGCAGUGGACCUAGGUGAGAGUAAGAAGAAAACCAAAAUAGUAGAACACUCAUCUAAAUUGUCCCAAAAAAAUGGAGGACAAAAUUCCCAAGAAAGUUCAAUAAACAAGUACAAGAAAAGCCAUGAAAGCCCAUUAUUUUUGGAAACAAUGUCAAAUAUUGAAGAAAUUGUCAAAGCAAAAUAUUGAACUUUCAACUUUAGGCACUUAAACAUACUAAUAAGGGGGGGAAUGAACAUAUUACAUAUGACAGUCCUUUAUCGUCGUAUUGACUUUUUUGAUAUGGUGGUAAAGUAUGAAGUGCUUGCAAGAGGGCUAUUAUCAUAUAUGGAAAAUGAUGAGAAAUCCAUACUAUAUAUGGUGAGCUAGAAAAGAAAAAGGCAAGCUAGUGAAAAGAUGCAAAGCCUUGCACUCUAGUUACAAGACGAGUUGCUUUUGUUUGAGGUGCACUUCUACUCACCCAUUAGCCAUAAAUGUAUGCAUUAUUCACAUGCAUUCACUUGGGUCAAGCAUUUUAAUUGUUCAUCUUCAUUACCAAAAAGAAUAAGUUAUUAGCUAGCUAGGUGAUAGAUGAGAAAUAUGUAUCAAGUUAGAAAAAUGCUAAGUUACAUAAUAGGUAUCACACUGAAUUCUAAAUUUGAGCUACUAAUGUGUGGAACAAAACAUGGAUUGUAAAAUACCAAUACUAAAAGAUGAGACUUAGAUAUAAAGAAAUAAAAUAAAAUAAAGUAGAAAAAAAAUAUAAUCUUAGUAUAAUUAAUAAAUAGAAACUUGUUAGAUGCAUGAACAAAAAAGAUCAUUUUUCCACAUAUAUUGACUUUUUGUCAGCUAUCCCUUUUUUUUAUGAGGUAUGGAAAGCAAUUUCCCUAUCAUAGAAUGAUUAAUAAAUGCAUGGGAAAAUAAUUGAACACAUUAAUGAGAUUCAAAUUCAAGAUUCAUAAGCCAAGGUACCUAUUAAAAGCUGCUAGUUGACCUAUAAGUUUAAGCUGAUAGAAAAAUAAUGAUAUCAAGCUUACCAGGAUUAGAUGAAGGGAUUAUAAAAAAGAUAAAAAUAAAAUUAUUGUGUGCAUUCCAAGAAUAGCGACUUGUGAUUGUAUGAGUGGGUGCAAAAAGUGAAGUUAGCCUAUAAGAUUCAUUUCUCCAAUCCUCUCAACAAAGACCACUAGACUGCUAAAGAAUUAUUUGCUACUACAAAUGAGCAACUCCAUCAAGAAGCUAAGGAAUGGCUAAUGCUUACCAUAGAGAAUUGCACCACUCUUUCUAUUUUCAUAGCCACUGUUGCCUUUGCUACAACCUACAUGGUACCAGAGUAAAAAACUUAGAGAUAUGAAGAAAAGAAGAGAUGCGGAGCACCUAUUUGAGAGAAAAUCGGAGAGAUAAAAACUAAAAAAAUUGAACAACUUAGUAUCAUUGAUAAGAACUUUGUUUCUUAUAUACAAAUAUUCAGAAAUUAGUUACAAACAACUGAUUACUACUCAAAAAGUGCUAUUUGAUAGCUUAUAAUUAAUCCUUUUAAACACUUUUGAGUAGUAGUUUUGGCCUUUUAACUCAAUUGGCAUGUUAAGGACCCUUGAAAGCAAUUUUAAUCACUUUGUGUAAGUUUUGGUGUUUUUGUUAGUAUUUUGAUCACCAAAGCAAUUCAAGAUUGAGGAGAAUUUUGAGGAAUCUUGGGCAAAGAUUGGAAGUCAUUUGCCAAGAGUAAAUCCGAAGUGCAAGGAGAAAAAGUAAAGAGAAUCUGCCAUGAAGCAUAUUCUUGAUGACAGUCGUGGCAGCCACUUUUGGAGCACUUUCUGAAGUCCAAUUGAUGCAUGCUAUAUACCAUUUCAAAGAUCAGGAAGUCAACAAUCUAAUGCUUCAAACGGUGCACAAUUCGGAGUUGAAACGAAGAAGUUGCAGCCAUUGCAAGCCAAUCACUCCAAGCUGAAGGAAGCAUUUUCCAAAGUGUUGCGAAAUCACCCUUUUGUUGCGAAGUGAUUUCGCAGCAUUUUUGUACAGUAUGGUGUAUUUCCUCCUGAAGUUGCCCGAUAUAUGCCGCAAGCUGGAAGCUGAGAGCAUCAAGGUAGAAGCCAACUUCGCAGCCCUGCGAAGAUAGCAUGUUGUUGCGAAAUGAUUUCGCAGCCCUUCUUGAGUGUCUGCGAAAUCUCGCAGACACCAUUUUCUCUUGCGGAAUGGUUCCUGGAGCAUCCCGAUAUUUGCUACCGACAUUGGGAGAUAUUUUACAUCAGAUUUUUGUUGUCUAAAUCCCAAAAUACUCCUUGUAAGCCACCAAUUACAAGAUUCCUUAGCUUUAAGUUAGUAAAAAGAGAAAAUAUCUAUGUAAUAAUUAGUUUUAUAUUAUGUUCAUAUAAAUACCUCUCGGGAGCCUGUUCUCAGAGAGAGCCUUUUGUAAAGUUUUAGGUAAGCAAGUAAAGUUCAGUUCUUUGUAUUACCUUACCUUCUCACUUUGUAUAUUUUAUUUUCUUACUAAGUUAUGAACUCUCUGAGGAGUUUUCCCCAGAGAAUGAGUAACUAAACCUCUAAUUCCUUGGAGCUAAGGUUGCCGGGGAAGGUUCCAAGUGCAAGAAUGCAAAGCUUUGUGGUUUUAGCUAGUAAUGAAGAGGAAGUGAAAUCCUUUAGUGAUUUCUAUGUUUUUAGUUAACUUAAAACACCUUAGAGUCAUCUGGGCCAACACUUGGUAAGGCAAGUGAUUUCCAACCAUGGAAAUGCACUAGUUUACCCUUUGCGAGCCUCUGGAAGGUGACUUUAGGGUAGGAUUUUCUAGAAUAGCCAACACUUGGUAAGCUUUUGGACUCCAAGGAGACAUCCAUUAGUUAUCUCUUGCGAGCUUUUGAAGGGAAGUCCAAGGUUAAAGAUCAUCUUGAAUGGUAAGUGCUCGUGAGAGGCAUGAACCAUUGCAAGUUGUAUCAAUGAGAGAAUUAAAGUUGAAAUCCAAUUAAAGGAUGUAUCUGUACAACACCGGUUAGAGAAUUGACUAUAUGUUGAAUCUCUAACGCGAGGAAAGGAACCAUCUGACCGGAGCUAUGUCUUUUGCAUGAGGAACCACCCCAGUGAACCUAACUCUCCAAGGAAUGCUUUUCUUCCUAAGUUAUUCCGAGUACUUGUUAUGUUAGUUAGUUUAAAUCUUUACCAAUCAAAGUUUGUGUUUUAUUUCUUAAGCUAACCUUGAAAUGAAACAAGACCAAUUCACUUGGAAUUGGUAUCAUUGAUAGCUUGCUAAUCCUUCCCAGUGAACGAUCCUAGAGCCGUUAUACUAUAGUAGCUUUUUCUUUGCUACCCUAGUAUAUGGUGUUAUAGGUUAUAAAUUUUGUUGAUUACUCCCUCUAUCAAGGAGCACCAGUUGGACACGAAUCAGCUGAGACACCAAUUGGGCACGAAUCAAAUGGCGCCGUUGCCGGGGAAUGUGUCAAUUUUAUAGCGAUACCAUUUUUUAGCACUUGUGAUUGUCAUCACAAGUUUGGUAACGUUUCUUUCACUUUACUAAUUCUCAUUCUUUCUUUAUUUAUUCAUAAUCCAAGUUUAUCUUUUAAAUUCAGCUUAGUUUAAUUUUGUUUUUCGUAGCCCUGUUUUCUUUUGUUGUCCUUUAUUUUCAUUUUAGUUGCAGAUAGAUACUAGUUGUGUAUGCCAAAUUGGAUACGAGACAGUGGAGGAAGACUUGUUAAGUGUGAUACACCUCAUAACAAAGAAUUUGAGUUGAGCUUGAAUAUCAUGGAAACUACACCUGAAGAUCAGCAUAGUCACCAAGGUCGUCAAGACAAUCUCAAUGAAUUCAGAUCAAUGAGGGACCGUAUGCAUCCACCUCGUAUGAGUGCACCAUCAUGUAUAGUGCCCCCUACAGAGCAGCUAGUGAUCAGACCGUAUCUCGUUCCACUUCUACCAACUUUCCAUGGGAUGGAAAGUGAGAAUCCGUAUGCAUACAUCAAGGAAUUUGAAGAUGUUUGUAAUACAUUCCAAGAGGGAGGAGCUUCAAUUGAUUUGAUGAGGCUUAAGUUAUUUUCUUUUACUUUAAAGGAUAAAGCCAAAAUUUGGCUUAAUUCUUUAAGGCCAAGGAGUAUCCGUUCUUGGACUGACUUACAAGCUGAAUUCCUCAAGAAAUUUUUUCCCACUCAUAGAACAAAUGGCUUGAAAAGGCAAAUUUCAAACUUCUCAGCUAAAGAGAAUGAGAAAUUCUAUGAGUGUUGGGAAAGAUACAUGGAAGCUAUAAAUGCUUGUCUUCACCAUGGCUUUGAUACUUGGCUAUUGGUGAGUUAUUUUUAUGAUGGUAUGUCCUCCUCAAUGAAGCAACUCCUCGAGACAAUGUGUGGAGGAGAUUUCAUGAGUAAAAAUCCAGAGGAAGCUAUGGAUUUCUUGAGCUAUGUAGCUGAUGUUUCAAGGGGAUGGGAUGAACCAACCAAAGGAGAAGUGGGGAAGAUGAAGUCUCAACUGAGUGCUUUCAAUGCAAAGGCUGGGAUGUAUACCUUGAAAGAAGAUGAUGAUAUGAAAGCAAAAUUGGCAGCUAUGACAAGAAGAUUGGAGGAGCUGGAGCUGAAAAGAAUACAUGAAGUGCAAGCUGUUGCUGAAGCACCAGUGCAAGUGAAGCUGUGUCCCAAUUGUCAAUCAUAUGAACAUUUGGUGGAGGAAUGCCCUACAAUUUCAGCUGAAAGGGAGAUGUUUAAAGAUCAAGCAAAUGUUGUUGGACAAUUCAGGCCCAAUAACAAUGCGCCUUAUGGAUAUACCUACAACUCAAGUUGGAGGAAUCAUCCAAAUUUCUCAUGGAAGGCCAGAGCAACUCAAUACCAACAGCCGGAUCCACCACCUCAACAAACUUCAAGUCUUGAUCAAGCAAUGGCUAAUCUCAGCAAGGUAGUGGGAGAUUUUGUUGGAAAGCAAGAAGCCACCAAUGCUCAAAUCUAUCAAAGAAUUGAUAGAGUAGAGAGUAUGUUGAAUAAUAUGAUGGAUGGAAUGCAAAAUGAUAUGAACCAAAAGUUUGAUAACAUCCAAUAUUCAAUUUCAAGGCUUACAAAUUUGAAUACACUGCAAGAAAAGGGAAGAUUUCCUUCUCAACCCCACCAAAACCCCAAAGGUGUCCAUGAAGUGGAAAGCUAAGAGGGAGAAUCAUCACAGAUGAAAGAUGUCAAAGCCUUGAUCACUCUAAGGAGUGGUAAAAAAAUUGAGCAGCCAACACCCAAGCCACAUGUUGAGAAAGAAGAAGAAAUAAAGAAAGGGAAGGAAAUGAAAGAUAAAGACAGUGAGGUCAGUGAAGAAAAGAAGGACUCUGAUUCAACAAUGAAUGCAAUUCCAGAGAAGGAACUUAUGAAGGAAGAAAUGCUGAAGAAAUCAACUUCUCCACCUUUUCCUCAAGCAUUACAUGGGAAAAAGGGGGUUAGAAAUGCAGCUGAAAUCCUUGAAGUAUUGAGACAAGUGAAAGUCAAUAUUCCACUGCUGGAUAUGAUUAAACAAGUUCCAACGUAUGCAAAAUUCCUAAAGGAUUUAUGUACUAUCAAAAGAGGGUUGACUGUAAACAAGAAAGCCUUAUUGACUGAGCAAGUAAGUGCAAUCUUACAAUGUAAGUCUCCAUUGAAGUACAAAGACCCGGGAAGUCCUACCAUUUUAGUCAUGAUUGGAGGAAAGAUAGUGGAAAAAGCCUUGUUAGAUUUGGGAGCAAGUGUGAAUUUGCUUCCAUAUUCCGUCUAUAAGCAAUUGGGACUUGGUGAGUUGAAGCUAAUAGCAAUCACUCUAUCUCUAGCAGAUAGAUCAGUAAAAAUUCCAAGGGGGGUAAUUGAGGAUGUCUUGGUUCAAGUGGAUAAUUUCUACUAUCCAGUAGAUUUUAUUGUUCUUGAUACAGAUCCUACUGUAAAGGAAGCUAAUUUAGUUCCUAUCAUCCUUGGAAGGCCAUUUCUUGCUACCUCAAAUGCAAUCAUCAACUGCAGGAAUGGGCUGAUGCAACUCACUUUUGGCAACAUGACACUGGAUCUCAAUAUUUUCUAUAUGUCUAAAAAGCAAAUCACUCCGGAAGAAGAAGAGGGUCCAGAAGAGCUGUGCAUUAUUGAUACUUUGGUGGAGGAGCACUGUAAUCAAAAUAUGCAAGACAAGUUGAAUGAAAGUCUUGUGAAUUUUGAGGAAGGUUUGUCUGAAUCUCCUACUGUGCUUGCUACUCUACAAAGUUGGAGAAAGAUAGAAGAGAUUCUACCUUUGUUCAAUGAAGAAGAAGAGGCAGCUGCUGAAAAAGAAAUUCCAAAAUUCAAUCUGAAGCCUCUACCUGUGGAGCUGAAAUAUACAUAUCUUGAAGAAAAUAAUCAAUGUCCUGUUGUAAUAUCUUCAUCUCUGACCAGUCAUCAGAAGAAUUGUUUAAUGGAAGUUCUCAAGAGGUGUAAGAGGGCAAUAGGAUGGCAAAUAUCCGACUUGAAAGGCAUUAGUCCUUUAGUUUGUACUCAUCAUAUAUAUAUGGAGGAGGAAGCAAAGCCAAUUCGUCAACUUCAAAGAAGGUUGAAUCCUCAUCUACAAGAGGUGGUGCGAGCUAAGGUGCUGAAGCUACUUCAGGCAGGAAUCAUUUACCCUAUAUCUGAUAGCCCUUGGGUGAGUCCUACUCAAGUGGUACCAAAGAAGUCAGGGAUCACAGUGGUUCCGAAUGAAAAAGGAGAAGAAGUUACUACACGCCUCACUUCAGGUUGGAGGGUGUGUAUUGAUUAUAGAAAGUUGAAUGCUGUAACCAGGAAGGAUCAUUUUCCAUUGCCAUUUAUUGACCAAGUGCUGGAGAGAGUCUCUGGACAUCCAUUCUAUUGUUUCUUGGAUGGGUAUUCAGGGUAUUUUCAGAUUGAAAUUGAUGUGGCAGAUCAGGAAAAGACCACUUUUACAUGUCCAUUUGGAACAUAUGCUUACAGGAGAAUGCCUUUUGGUUUAUGCAAUGCACCUGCUACAUUUCAAAGAUGUAUGUUGAGUAUUUUCAGUGAUAUGGUGGAACGAAUUAUGGAGGUUUUCAUGGAUGACAUCACUGUAUAUGGAGGUACAUUUGAGGAAUGCUUAGUUAAUUUGGAAGCAGUUCUUCACAGAUGCAUUGAAAAAGAUCUGGUGCUCAACUGGGAGAAAUGUCAUUUUAUGGUACGUCAAGGAAUUGUCCUUGGUCAUAUCAUCUCUAAAAGAGGCAUUGAAGUUGAUAAAGCAAAGGUGGAGCUUAUUGUCAAAUUACCAUCCCCAACAACUGUAAAAGGAGUAAGGCAGUUCCUUGGCCAUGCAGGGUUCUAUAGGAGAUUUAUAAAAAGGUUUUUCAAGUCUUUCAAAACCUCUUUGUGAGCUGUUAGCUAAGGAUGCUAAAUUUAUAUGGGAUGAAAGGUGUCAGAAUAGCUUUGAUCAACUGAAGAAAUUUUUAACAGCAACUCCAAUAGUGAGAGCCCCUAACUGGCAAUUACCUUUUGAACUGAUGUGUGAUGCCAGUGACUUUGCUAUAGGAGCUGUGCUUGGCCAAAGGGAAGAUGGGAAGCCCUAUGUGAUUUACUAUGCAAGUAAAACACUGAAUGAAGCUCAAAGGAACUACACAACUACAGAGAAAGAAUUGUUAGCUGUGGUAUUUGCUUUGGACAAAUUUCGUGCUUAUUUAGUGGGGUCUUUCAUCAUUGUCUUUACUGACCAUUCAGCCUUGAAGUAUUUAUUGACAAAGCAAGAUGCAAAAGCAAGGUUGAUUAGAUGGAUUCUUUUGUUACAAGAAUUCGAUCUUCAAAUCAAAGAUAAGAAAGGAGUGGAGAAUGUGGUAGCUGACCACCUUUCCAGGUUAGUUAUAGCACAUAAUUCCCAUCCCUUGCCUAUUAAUGAUGAUUUUCCUGAAGAAUCACUCAUGUUCUUAGUGAAAACUCCUUGGUAUGCUCAUAUUGCUAAUUAUUUAGUAACUGGUGAAAUUCCAAGUGAGUGGAAUGCACAGGACCGGAAGCACUUCUUUGCCAAAAUUCAUGCUNNNNNNNNNNNNNNNNNNNNNNNNNNNNNNNNNNNNNNNNNNNNNNNNNNNNNNNNNNNNNNNNNNNNNNNNNNNNNNNNNNNNNNNNNNNNNNNNNNNNCCCUAACUGGCAAUUACUUUUGAACUGAUGUGUGAUGCCAGUGACUUUGCUAUAGGAGCUGUGCUUGGCCAAAGGGAAGAUGGGAAGCCCUAUGUGAUUUACUAUGCAAGUAAAACACUGAAUGAAGCUCAAAGGAACUACACAACUACAGAGAAAGAAUUGUUAGCUGUGGUAUUUGCUUUGGACAAAUUUCGUGCUUAUUUAGUGGGGUCUUUCAUCAUUGUCUUUACUGACCAUUCAGCCUUGAAGUAUUUAUUGACAAAGCAAGAUGCAAAAGCAAGGUUGAUUAGAUGGAUUCUUUUGUUACAAGAAUUCGAUCUUCAAAUCAAAGAUAAGAAAGGAGUGGAGAAUGUGGUAGCUGACCACCUUUCCAGGUUAGUUAUAGCACAUAAUUCCCAUCCCUUGCCUAUUAAUGAUGAUUUUCCUGAAGAAUCACUCAUGUUCUUAGUGAAAACUCCUUGGUAUGCUCAUAUUGCUAAUUAUUUAGUAACUGGUGAAAUUCCAAGUGAGUGGAAUGCACAGGACCGGAAGCACUUCUUUGCCAAAAUUCAUGCUUAUUAUUGGGAAGAGCCCUUUCUUUUUAAGUAUUGUGCAGAUCAGAUCAUAAGGAAGUGUGUUCCUGAAGAUGAGCAGCAAGGGAUUCUAUCUCAUUGUCAUGAGAAUGCAUGUGGAGGCCACUUUGCCUCUCAGAAAACAGCUAUGAAGGUGUUGCAAUCAGGGUUUACUUGGCCAUCUCUUUUCAAAGAUGCCCACAUCAUGUGUAGAAGUUGUGACAGAUGCCAAAGGCUUGGAAAGCUAACAAAAAGAAAUCAAAUGCCUAUGAACCCCAUUCUAAUAGUUGAGCUAUUUGAUGUAUGGGGCAUUGACUUCAUGGGACCUUUCCCAAUGUCUUUUGGUAAUUCUUACAUCUUGGUGGGGGUGGAUUAUGUUUCUAAAUGGGUUGAGGCAAUCCCCUAUAAACAAAAUGAUCACAGGGUGGUUCUCAAGUUUCUUAAAGAGAACAUUUUCUCAAGAUUUGGGGUGCCCAAAGCCAUAAUCAGUGAUGGAGGUGCUCAUUUUUGCAACAAACCUUUUGAAGCUCUGUUAUCCAAGUAUGGAGUGAAGCAUAAGGUGGCUACACCUUAUCAUCCUCAGACUUCCGGGCAAGUUGAGCUAGCUAACAGGGAAAUAAAGAACAUAUUGAUGAAAGUGGUGAAUUCCAGUAGAAAAGAUUGGUCUAUUAGGCUUCAUGAUUCAUUGUGGGCAUAUAGAAUAGCUUAUAAGACUAUUCUUGGGAUGUCUCCUUAUCUUCUUGUCUAUGGCAAAGCAUGCCAUCUCCCUGUGGAAGUUGAAUACAAGGCUUGGUGGGCAAUAAAGAAGUUAAACAUGGAUUUGGUCAGAGCCGGAGAAAAGAGAUAUCUAGACCUUAAUGAGAUGGAGGAAUUAAGAAAUAAUGCUUAUAUCAAUUCCAAAGUUGCAAAACAGAGGAUGAAGAAGUGGCAUGAUCAACUCAUCUCCAACAAGGAAUUUCAGGAAGGGCAAAGAGUUUUACUGUAUGACACAAGACUCCAUAUCUUUCCUGGGAAGCUCAAGUCAAGGUGGAUAGACCCGUUCAUUAUUCACCGAGUAUAUUCCAAUGGAGUGGUGGAAUUAUUGAAUUCAAAUGGCAAGGAUAGCUUUAGAGUCAAUGGAUAUCGUCUCAAGCCAUUCAUGGAUCCAUUCAAACCAGAAAAGGAGGAAAUCAACCUCCUUGAGCCUCGAAAAGCCUAAGCAAAGAAGGGUUUGCUGGACGUGGUUUACCACAGUCCAAAAUUUUUGUAAAUUUUGUAAAUUUUCAAGUUUUUUUUCCAUACAUUUGAUCUUAGUUUUUGAUCUUAAAUCAUGUUUUUAGGUGUGUUUUAAUCUUUUUGAAUGAUCCCAGGUGGAAGAAAUUGCAAGGAAAUUGAAAGGAAAAGAAUCGGAUAAAAAACAGAGCAAAAACAGAGCAAAAAACAGAGCUCUGCGAGAUUUCGCAGCCUCUGCGAAAUCAGCACUAUGCUGCAAAACCAUUCCGCAACACUUUGGAGUUCUCUGCGAGAAUUUUCGCAGCUGCGAAGGCGAUUUUGGCACACGAGUGCCACUUUGCAGCACAGGAGCCCUCAUUUGGCAGCUGCGAAACGCAUUGCGAAGUGGUAAAGCCUGAUUUCGCACCAAAAGUCCCAUUCCGCAGGGUAUUUUGCAAUUGCGAAAGCGAUUUUGGCACACGUGUGCCACUUCGCAGCACAGUAACAUUAAUUUCGCAGCUGCGAAAUGCAUUGCGAAGUUGCUGCGAAAAUGACAUUUUGCUGCGAAAUUGGCAUUUUGCUGCGAAACUCAAACUGACCCUUAGUCUUCCCUUAUUCCUAUUUAUACCGGUCAUUUGAGUUGCGAAAAGGGUUUCAAAAUCAGAGCGCGCCAUUCUCGCAGACCGUCCAUCUCCUUCUUCAAGCCUCACCGCGCAAGCCUCCGGUCAUCUUCUCCGACCAUCCGUUCCGGCCAAACUUCGGUAAUCCGAAAUGGCGCGAACAAGAGGGGCUAAGUCUCCAUCUCCUUCGAGCCGCAAGAGAAGCUUGCGAAAGGAACCAGUUCCAGAUCCUAUCCCUGACCCUCCGCAGCCGAAAGCAAUUCCUCCUCCGGUGAAGCCCGCGCUGCCAAAGCCUCCGGUAAAGCCCGCGCCGCCAAAACCUCCGGCAAAACGAUACCUAACCAGGUCAGGGGGUCGGCCACUGCAAAAGAAACCCAGGGUGGAGAGCUUAGAACCCAUCGAUUUGACUGAGCAAUCUCCAGAGCCCUCGCCGGCUCCAACUCCAGUUCCCUCGCCAAUUCAGCCUCCGGUGCCAUCUCCGACGCCGCAAGCAAAAUCUCAGGAGACUCAAGCGCCACUUCCCGAGCCCCAAAUUCCAUCUGAAAUAGCUCCGGAAGAAGUAAUCAGGAGGCCGAUGCUGACCCAGCUCCCAAUUGAGGGAAAUUUGGAUUGUAGAACUCGGCCAUUCCACUCCGAGCUAGGCUUUGACAUAUCUACAUUCCAAUUGCAGCCGGAGCUUGCACAGUCAUUCAACCUUCUAAGAAGGUACCAUAUGGAGCAUCUGCUGACUCCGAGAGACUUUUUCUACCCAAGGGUGGCCAUGGAUUUCUAUCAAUCCAUGACAACCAACCAGGUCAGGGAUCCAACUUUAAUUCAUUUCACUAUUGAUGGGAGGCAUGGCAUAUUGGGAGCACGCCAUAUAGCUGAAGCCUUGCAAAUUCCCUAUGAGCCGACCCAAUUCGAUAAUUUUAGAGCUUGGACCAAUCCUACUGAGCUGGAGAUGGUGCGCACCCUAUCCAGAGGAGCUGCCAAUCGAUCAUAUCUGUUGAGGGGGGAGCUUCCUCCAAUCAUGUUUUUGAUUGAUGCAUUUUUGCGUCAUAACCUCUACCCAUUGCAGCAUUGGACUCAAAGAAGAGGAGUCCUCUUAGAAGCCCUGUACAAGAUGUCUGAAGGAUUUUUCUUUGGGCCUCAUCAUCUGAUUCUGGCAGCCCUUCUCUAUUUCGAAGAGAAGGUACACAAAAAGAAGCUUCAGAGAGCUGAUUGCAUUCCCCUCCUCAUUCCAAGGCUGCUAUGCCAAAUUCUGGAGCACUUGGGGUAUCCUUCUGAACCUCAAUUGGAGCGCAAACGCAUUUGCCGUGAGCUUUUCACUCUUAACAAAUGGAACAACAUGACAGCUUAUCGAGUUGACCAGCCUGAGCGCCCACAGCCAGCUGUAAGGAGAGCAUCCCCACGACACAUACCUGAGGGUAUAACAGUUGCUGCUCCUGCCAUUUGCAGAGCUCCACCAGCUGCUCCAGCUUCAUCUCAGCCAUCCACUUCAGCUGAGCCGAGGAUGGCCAUACCCAUUUCUGAAUAUCGAGAGUUGUGCCGUGCAUUGCAGACCCUCACAGCUUCUCAGAGCAGUCUUGCUCAAGAGAUGGCAGCCAUUAGAGCAUGCCAAGAGCAGAUGUUGGCCACUCAGGCUCAACAAGCUGCCAUCUUAAGGCAGCUCCAGCUUCAUUUCAACCUGCCACCAGCUGUUGAGCCCUCCACUUCUACUCCAGCAGAGCCACACUCUCAUCCCUCAGAGCCUCAAGCCCCAGCUGAAGCACCAACUGAAGAGGCAGAUCCAUCUGCCUAGCCCCAGCACCACCCACUCAUCAGAUCAUUAUAUAUAUAUCUACUAUCUUUGUUUUAUGUAUUUCGUUUUUUAGUUUGAAAGAAAUCCCAUUAUUUUGGUAUUAUAUUUGGGAUUGCUUGUAUUACUUUUCUUUUGCAUUGUACUUAAAUGGAUUCAAAGUAAUACAAGUUUAAUAUUUCUUGUUAACAGUUAGCAUUAAGUUAUCCUUAUUUCCUUUUCUCACAUAUUCUAUUCUUUUUGAAACAUGUGGUUUCUCCAAUUAGUAUGCGAAUUUGAUAUCACACAGGAGGUACCACUUCCUCCCUUUAAUUACAGUCACUCAUAUCACAUUGAGGACAAUGCUCAGUUCGGUUGGGGGGAAUGAGGAAGGAAGUUAUGCUAAAUUAAAGGAAGUAUGCUAAGCCUUUUUAGUAAUGCAAUUAUUUUGGUAAAUUAGUUGUAGUUUUUGUUUUUUACUCUUUUUACUCUAUUCUCCAUGAAUCUUGAGGAAAAAUUUUCAAAUUAAAACAGGAAAAAUUGAACUGUUGUUUUUCACUUGACUUAGAGUAUGGAUUAUGCUCACUAAAGUGGUUCAAUUGUUGAAGCUUCUAUUGAAAUUGAAUUUAGUUCUUCCACUUUAAGCUAUUCACACACUGUGCACAUUAGAUUCCGAUUAUAAGAUGAAAAACUAUUUCCCUCUUGACUUAGGAUAAUUUUGGGACUUGGUAUAUUUGACCUCAUUUGAUAAAAAUUGAAACACCCUGCAAAAGGCCAAUGAGCCUUUGAAAUAAAGAAAGUUGUUUGCUUGCCUUAAAACCCGAGCAAGGUCUGAGAGGUAUAUGGUGAAAAUCUUUGAAGCCUGGUGCCCUAAGCCUUAAUUGGUUGGGAGUCACCGACCUCAAUGCUCGUUACAAGGGUGAAUAGGUAGAGUAGCAUAUGGUAGGUGCUUGGGUAUUAAAAAUUCAUUCUCAAAAGUCCGGGGAAAAAUCCGAGGAGUUAGUGGUUGAAAGAUCCUUAAAGCUUGGUGCCCUAAACCUUAAUUGGUUGGGAGUCAUCGAUGGACCCCCAUUACAUGGACAAUACAGAAAGAGUACCCCAUAAGUUCUUUGUUAAAAAAAAAAAAAAAAAAAAAAAAGUGUGUUCUUUCUUUAUUGAUUUUGGUCAGUUUGCUAAGUGUUGAAAAGAGAUAGGUUGGGGGGAGAGAUUAGUUUAGCAUAUUAUUCUCGGAAGCUAAGGAACCAAUACACAUAGAUUUUUGAGGAAGAAUAAAGUUUGGUUCUUUGAAAGUGGAAAUGAUUUUAAAACUUCAGUUUGCAUAAUGCAUUCCCUUGUUUGACAGUGUUUAGCAUAGUUUGUUAUAACUCUUGUUGAAAUUUGCUUUUAUAUUUCUUUAAGGUUUCAUGAGAGAAUUAGAUCAUCAUGCCACUUGAGAAUUGUUUUUGAUCAGCAUGAUGUUGUAAAUUAUAGUUUAAUUUGUUGUUUAUUUUCAUUUUUCUCUCCUAUAUUGCUAAGGGACUAGCAAUAUGUCGGUUGGGGGGAGUGAUUACUACUCAAAAAGUGCUAUUUGAUAGCUUAUAAUUAAUCCUUUUAAACACUUUUGAGUAGUAGUUUUGGCCUUUUAACUCAAUUGGCAUGUUAAGGACCCUUGAAAACAAUUUUAAUCACUUUGUGUAAGUUUUGGUGUUUUUGUUAGUAUUUUGAUCACCAAAGCAAUUCAAGAUUGAGGAGAAUUUUGAGGAAUCUUGGGCAAAGCUUGGAAGUCAUUUGCCAAGAGUAAAUCCGAAGUGCAAGGAGAAAAAGUAAAGAGAAUCUGCCAUGAAGCAUAUUCUUGAUGACAGUCGUGGCAGCCACUUUUGGAGCACUUUCUGAAGUCCAAUUGAUGCAUGCUAUAUACCAUUUCAAAGCUCAGGAAGUCAAUAAUCUAAUGCUUCAAACGGUGCGCAAUUUGGAGUUGAAACGAAGAAGUUGCAGCCAUUGCAAGCCAAUCACUCCAAGCUGAAGGAAGCAUUUUCCAAAGUGUUGCGAAAUCACCCUUUUGUUGCGAAGUGAUUUCGCAGCAUUUUUGUACAGUAUGAUGUAUUUCCUCCUGAAGUUGCCCGAUAUAUGCCGCAAGCUGGAAGCUGAGAGCAUCAAGGUGGAAGCCAACUUCGCAGCCCUGCGAAGAUAGCAUGUUGUUGCGAAAUGAUUUCGCAGCCCUUCUUGAGUGUCUGCGAAAUCUCACAGACACCAUUUUCUCUUGCGGAAUGGUUCCUGGAGCAUCCCGAUAUUUGCUAUCGACAUUGGGAGAUAUUUUACAUCAGAUUUUUGUUGUCUAAAUCCCAAAAUACUCCUUGUAAGCCACCAAUUACAAGAUUCCUUAGCUUUUAAGUUAGUAAAAAGAGAAAAUAUCUAUGUAAUAAUUAGUUUUAUAUUAUGUUCAUAUAAAUACCUCUCGGGAGCCUGUUCUCAGAGAGAGCCUUUUGUAAAGUUUUGGGUAAGCAAGUAAAGUUCAGUUCUUUGUAUUACCUUACCUUCUCACUUUGUAUAUUUUAUUUUCUUACUAAGUUAUGAACUCUCUGAGGAGUUUUCCCCAGAGAAUGAGUAACUAAACCUCUAAUUCCUUGGAGCUAAGGUUGCCGGGGAAGGUUCCAAGUGCAAGAAUGCAAAGCUUUGUGGUUUUAGCUAGUAAUGAAGAGGAAGUGAAAUCCUUUAGUGAUUUCUAUGUUUUUAGUUAACUUAAAACACCUUAGAGUCAUCUGGGCCAACACUUGGUAAGGCAAGUGAUUUCCAACCAUGGAAAUGCACUAGUUUACCCCUUACGAGCCUCUGGAAGGUGACUUUAGGGUAGGAUUUUCUAGAAUAGCCAACACUUGGUAAGCUUUUGGACUCCAAGGAGACAUCCAUUAGUUAUCUCUUGCGAGCUUUUGAAGGGAAGUCCAAGGUUAAAGAUCAUCUUGAAUGGUAAGUGCUCGUGAGAGGCAUGAACCAUUGCAAGUUGUAUCAAUGAGAGAAUUAAAGUUGAAAUCCAAUUAAAGGAUGUAUCUGUACAACACCGGUUAGAGAAUUGACUAUAUGUUGAAUCUCUAACGCGAAGAAAGGAACCAUCUGACCGAAGCUAUGUCUUUUGCAUGAGGAACCACCCCAGUGAACCUAACUCUCCAAGGAAUGCUUUUCUUCCUAAGUUAUUCCGAGUACUUGUUAUGUUAGUUAGUUUAAAUCUUUACCAAUCAAAGUUUGUGUUUUAUUUCUUAAGCUAACCUUGAAAUGAAACAAGACCAAUUCACUUGGAAUUGGUAUCAUUGAUAGCUUGCUAAUCCUUCCCAGUGAACGAUCCUAGAGUCGCUAUACUAUAGUAACUUUUUCUUUGCUACCCUAGUAUAUGGUGUUAUAGGUUAUAAAUUUUGUUGAUUACUCCCUCUAUCAAGAAGCACCAGCUAGACACGAAUCAGCUGAGACACCAAUUGGGCACGAAUCAACAACUAACAACCUAUUAACUACUUAACAACUCUAACUAACAUCCAACCUCAAGCACAUAGGGUGAGAAAGAACUAUGAGCUUGCUCUAGAGAUGAAGGAAAUGCUGAGUGGAGAGAGCUUUGGUUAAGAUAUCAACAGCUUGGUCUCCAAAUGGAAGAAAUCAAACAUCAAAAGUUUUCUACGGGACUCAUUCUUAAACAAAAUGAUAAUUAAUUUCCACAUGUUUAGCCCGAGAAUGAAGGACAAGAAUUACAGCCAAAUAACAUGAACUAAAACAGGGGAACAAAGGGCUCUUUAAGAAAGGAUUGAAUCUAAGUGAGUACGACCGUUGCAUUGGCCAAGCCCCUAUACUCGGACUCGGUAUAAGAGUGUGAACCACCUUUUGUUUAGAAGCUGACUAAGAGACCAGAUUACCACAAAAAAAAAACAAAAAAAAAAAACAAAACACAGUAGCCACUAGUGCUACGUCUAUCAUUAGGGCAAGAUACCCAAUCGACAUUUGUAUAAGCAACAAGAUUGAGUGAGGAAGAUGGUUGGAAAAAAAAAACCCAUAAAACAACAAACCUUUGAGAUAACAAAUAACAUGCUUCAUAUCUUGAAAAUGAGUAGAGGUUGGAGCAUGCAUAAAUUGGUAAAUCUUAUUAACAGUAUAAGGAGUGUUUGGUCUAGUGAUUUUGCAAUACUGAAGGGCACCUACAAGACUCUAAUAGAAAGUGGGAUCCUCUAAUUUGGUACCAUCAACUAUGAAUAAAACAAGACCAGUAGCCAUUAAAGAAGCAACAAGCUUUGAUUCCAACAAAUCAACAUGCUGAAGAAGAUCACAAAUGUAUCUAUCUCGGCUUAAAUGCAAAGAAAAUCCAAAAUUGAGCACCUCUAUUCUAAGAAAGAAAUUGAGAGGACCAGAUUCUUGAGAGCAAAGCAAGAGUUUAAGGAAGAUAUAAGUUGUUCAAUGAGCAAGGAAUUUGAAUUAGUGACAAUAAUAUCAUCGAUAUAAACUAAGACAACAAGCAUGAUAGAAUUGUUAUGGUAACCAAACAUUGAUGUAUCUACUUAAGAUAUGGAAAAACCCCAUUUAAAUAAUGCAGAAUUCAGUUUCGUGAACCAAGCCCAUGGAGUUUGCUUCAAGCCAUACAAGGCCUUGGUAAGCUUACAAACAAAAUUGGGCUUAGAAGGAUCCACAAAACCCGGGGGUUGUAUCUAAAAACUUGCUCAAAUAAAUCACCAUUAUGAACAUCAAGUUGUUGGAUAGACCAAUUUCUACUCAAUGCCAAAGAGAGAACCACACUAAAGGUUUAACCACAAAACUAAAGGUUUCAAAGAAAUCAAAACUGUGAGUUUGAUGGAAUCCUUUCACCACUAAAUGUGCCUUAUAACAAUCAAUAGUUCCCUUAGGUUUAAACUUCAAUUUAUAAACCCACUAACAUCCAAUGGUAUUCUGAUUAGACGGAGGAGGAACCAUGACGUAUGUUUUAUUUUUCAUAAGAGCUUCAAAUUCAAGAUGCAUAGCCUAUUGCCAUUCAGGAACUUUAGCAGUUUCCUUAAAGGAAUCUAGUUCACAAAGUGGAGGAAAAAUAGUCUUAGUAGGAGACAAAUAUAACUUGAGUUCGAAAAUGCCAUUUUUGGCACGUAUUAUCAUGAGAUGACAAGGAGUAAGAACAUAAGAGGAAAGAGGUUGGGUUGUUGGAAUUGCUGUAACCUUAGAAAAGGAAAUUGACACACUAGAAUUAGAUAUUGGAACCAACUUUGAAGGUGGACAUAAUGGGGGAGGUAAGAGGGAAGGUAUUGGAGAUGAUGGUACUACCAAGGGAAUGACACAAUGAGAGGGGGAAACAGAAUAAGAAGUUUGAACUAUGGAAGACUUAGCAAAUCGGAAAUCUAGUUCAUAAAAAAUAACAUGUCGUGAUAUAUGUAUUUUAUGAUUGGACAUGUUUAAAUAAAGAUAUCCUUUAUGCUUAGAACUAUAGCCAAUAUUUUAACGGAUUGAUAUGCAAGUUUAUGACAAUUAAAAUGAUGUAGAAAAGGAUAACAAAUGUAGCCAUAGACAUGAAGAAAAUAAUAAUUUGGUAGACAAUGGUAAAGAGUCUUAUACGGAUCGAGAAGAGAUAUUCAACAUAGAGGUAGGAAGUCUAUUAAUCAAAUAUAAGGUAGAUUGGAAAACAAAAGGUCAAUAUUUAAGUGGAAUAGAAGCACGAGCAAGCAAAGAAAGACCUAUUUCAACCACAUGUCUAUGUUUUCUCUCCACAUGACCAUUUUGUUGAAAAGUAGAUGGACAAGAUAUUCUAUGCAGAAUCCUAAAUUUACAUAAAGUAUCAAUAAAGGCUUGAAACUCCCCUCCCUAAUCAGUUUGAAGCACUCUUAACUUUAGUGUCAAAUUGAGUCUCAGUUAUCACUUUAAAUUGCAAAAAAACAGAGAUAGCUUGAUUUUUAAAAGCUAGUAGAUACAACCCCAAGAAAAUCUUGUAUGGUCAAUUGGAAAAAAGUACAAAGUAUCUUGCAUCAUUAGCACCAACAAUAACGGUAGGACCCCAUAGAUCAAAAUGUAUAAGAGCAAAAGGCUAAGAGACUCUGGAUUUAGACAAAGUAAAAGGUAAGUGAUGACUCUUUGCCAUUUGACAAGGUUCACAAAUACCUAUCCAAUGUUCUGAGGGCAUACUACAAUCACUCAAAACUUUAUUCACUAUUUUACGUGCAAGAUGGCCUAAUUAAAAUGUCAUAGAGCUACCUUAUUGGGAAGUUGUAAUGCAAAUAACAUACACGGGACCUCAAUUGCCAAGCUUGUUCUUCUAACAAUUUUAUUACCUUUAGAAUCUAUAUUUUUUUUACCAGAAACUGAAGAUGACAAUUUGUAUAAACCAUGGUUAAGGUUGCCUUGGAGAAGAGCCUUCUUUGAAGCUUGAUCCUUCAUCACAAAUCCAUUAGUAAAGAAUUCCAUAGUAACAUUAUUGUUAGUACACAACCUAUUCACACUUAUCAAAUUGGUUGUAAGUUGUGGAACAUGUAGAAUAUUCUUUAGAUUUAAAGACUGAGAAACUGACAAAAUAGUAGAGUAUCCAAUAUUUGAGAUAUUUAAGCAACUACAGUUUCCAACGACAACUUUGUCCAAACCAGCAAAUGGAGUAUGUGCAUUCAAGUUCUUGAAAUUUAAAGUUAGGUGAUAUGUAGCUCUAGUAUCCAUGUACCAACUUCCAUCUGCAAUAGUGGCCAGAGUUGCAAUCAUUGCAGCAAGAUGAGGUUACUCAAUUCUUAGGGUUCUUUUUCCUCAUUGGUUUUUGACUCGGAUGAGUUAACUUAGUUCCUAGAGCUCUUCCUCAAUGACAAACAAUUUUGAUUAGAGUGUGGCAAGGAGUUCAAUGAGCAAGCUGGUGAUUGAUCAAGGCCUCACUAGUGAUGAGGACGUCGGUGAUAGCAACAAUCUAGUUGGAGAAACGAUUUUUUCCAACACCCUCAAACACCGCAAAAAUGAUCAUAUCGUCAUCAUGAUCUUAGAUAAGAGAAACUUAAAGUUUUGUUUAUUCCAAUUUCAAAUUGAAAACAAAAUUGUAGAGCACUAGAUACAAAAUAAAAAAAAAAUAAAAGAACGAAAAAUCACUAUAGAAACCUUAGAAAACACACUAGGAAGAAAAAUCAUAGACAAACUCACAGAAGAAUUUUAUGGCUUUAGGAGUUGGAGCCGGAGUUGGAGAAGAGUCUUAAUGGACAUUGAGGAAGGACAAGAAGAGGUGUUCAACUAUAAUUUAUGUAGGCUAUAUUGUAAAGGUUGGCUUUAAAAUGUAUCUAGUAGCGACCUAAUUAGGGUUCAAAGUAUCGGCCAAGUCUGAUACGACUCGGCCGAGUCAUAUCUGUCUCGACACUUGUCGCAACGAGACCGAUACCAGAUACAAUAUAAUGCAUGAACUCGACUGGGAAUCGGUUAGACUUUGCUAAGUUUUCGAGUUAACUCGGUUGACUCGGUUAGGUUAUAAAGAAUUUUCAAAUUUUUCAUAAAAUUGAAAAUAAUAAUAAUAAUAAAUCAGAGAUUGCCCUUUCAAAAGCAAACACCUAUUUUAAAAUUUUAAACCAUCAAUGAGAAGAUCAAAGAAGACCAAGAAGAAAAAACCUAACCUGUGACUCGUUCGGAAAUAAGUGGAGAAACCACCAAAGGAUGAGGGCAUAAUUUAGGAUUUACUUACUUGAUUUUCCUCAAAAUCGAGCAUUACCGAAGGGUGGAGCUUUGGUGUCGGCGAUGGUGACUCAUCAAGUGGAUUGAAUCUUUCACCGGGGACAUCAACAAGACAACCCCCUCAUAGUCAGAUUGCUCCCCCUCCCGUGUUAGGUCUUGCACGGUUGCAAAUUUGCGAUUGUAGGUGGUAUCGUCUAUUUUGGGUCUUGACAGUAAUGAUGACGUGCGAGGGUGGGAGAUUGGGAGCUUAAAUUAGUAAAGUAAAAAAUUGCAUUUUAUAUGGAUUUACAUGGAGAAUUGAGUCCCUGAUUUACAUGGAAAAUACCUUUCAUAUACACACUUUAAUAUGAUUUAAUAGUAACAUAUUAGGAGAAUUGAGUACCCGAUUUGCUAAAGUAAAAUGAUAUGAAAGGUAUAGAUGAAGUUUAAUGAUAAAUUAAAGUGUUUAUAUAGCAAAGUGAAAAUUAAAUCCUCAAUUUUUAAUAUUAUCACAAAAUAACUUUGAGCUAAAUGUGAAAAAAAAAUGGUUUUAUUAAAAUUUUCACCUUAUUUAAUUAUAUCUAUUUUAUUUUUUGAUUUAUAUAAUAUUUUUAUAAUUUUUUGAAAAUUUUAAUUAUCUUAUUUUACGUAUCGUCCAAUACCGAACCGAAACACUGAAACCAAUAUGCCUCGUGAUCCUCCGAGUCAAUGAUCGAUACCACGACUUUGAACCAUGGACCCAAUGGAAGUGGAGUCUAUAGGAACAUCUAUGGUAACGAUCCAAAAAUUAUUGCAGGCAUAAGAGAAUAUAUAAUAGCACUUUCAACAGUAAUCAUGACUAUGUAUCUUUCCUGGAAAUUUCCCACCAAUCCCAAUCCCAACCCCUUUAGAUGCAUGUGGUUGGAAUAUGCAUGAAGCUAUAUAUUACGUGGUUGGGAUAUGAAUGAGGCUAUAUACUAUUUUUAGUUGUGGAUUUUCUUAGCCCCUACUAAAACUAUGUCGCCAUUUCCUAUUCUUCUUGUAAUGUCAAGUUGGAAAGUUAAAUUUAAUUUAAAAACUUUCUAAAUAUUAAAUUUAGAGUUAGUUUCUAAAUGUUAAGGAGAACAUUUUAUUUUGAAUGAUUAUUUAGUUUUUGUAUUUGAGUAUUCAAGUCCUGAAAGGUCUCUAUAUUUCAUUAUUAAGAUUUUCUAUUUAGACAAAUGUGAGUAUAUUUAUAAACAAAAAAUUAUAUAAUAUAUACAUUUUUUAUAAAAAAAAAAAGCAAUAAAAUACAAUAAAAUUUUAAUUCUCUCCUAUUUUUAUCUUUUUUAUAAGUGUGUGUUUAUCUUUCAUCUAGAUAACUCACACAAUACUAACACAAUGAGAGUAAAAGGAGAAGGGCAAUAAAGAGUUGGGGCCGGAGAUCAUUGGAGGAACGGGUCAACUGUAGGCCGGUUGUCAAUGGGCUCAUAUAAGUAACAAAAAUUGGAAAUGGUUUCUAUAUCUUAGUGUCGUGUCUAGAAGACGACAAUCUACCUGUCAGUGUGCAGCAGAAGAGAAAGCGUGAUAUCUACUUAGAGUCAAAACAAAGGGAACCAGCUCGCAAUUCCUCCGAUACAUCAUUACCGACGUCAUAGCUCUAUUCCCCCAAUUCGUCACUACCAACGUCAUUCUAUCUCCAUUACGCAUUAUUUAAAGAGUCCCCAUGCAGAAGCUGUUCGAAACACAAGUCAGCUUUGACACAACCCCACUUCAUUGUGAUAACCUAUCCGGCACAGGUCCCUGUCCAAAGACCCAUCUUACUCUUUACAUUGUGGCCACUGAUUUGGUAUCUAAUCUCAGGCAAAAUUCACUGGUUUGAUGAAGGUUAUAGAACAAAACUUGUGUUAUUCUUAUCUUUGGUUUUGAUGAACUUUAAAGCAUUUAAAAAGAUUCAACUGGUAAGAAGUAUUUUUGCCUUGGGAAGAUGUUGGUUAUGGAUUAAAAGCAAAAAAGACCCUUGUACAUAUUUUUGGGUACCUGUCAAGCAAAUUAAUGCACAUCCGAACAUCACAACUGUUGUCUCUUAAAUUCUUCCAAUUGACCUGCUUUCGUCUUAUUGAGCGUCUGGGUUACUUGAUAAUGCAAAAACUCAUACAGUUAUUUCGAUAAAUUAAGAGCCUCGGGCAUCAAGGAAAAUCUAUUAUUACUUAAUCGAUAAAUUAAUAAUUUAUUAAUUUAAUUGCUUAUUAAUGAGAUCUCUUGAAUAAUUCUAUUAUGGAACAAGACACCAUAACAAUAUUAAAUAAAUUUUUGUCAUAGUAUGAGAAUACCACACUAGAUGUAAUAUGAGAAUGUCAUAUUUAAUUAGGGCCUUGGCUUAAAAUAAGUAAAUAAAUAAUUAAUAAUUAAAAUAUAAAUACUAGACUCACAUUUUAAACAAACACUUCUAAACUCUCAGACUCUACAAAGAACAUACACAAAGAAAUCUAGGUUCCAGAUUUGAGUGAAGAGAAAGAGAAUUUGAUUUUUUUUGUUCUUUUGUGAAAAUUUCAUGGUAAGUGAUACUUCUUAAAGUUUUCUUUUUUUUUUUUUAUAGUUUUUCUUCUUAGAAACUUUAAUUUCCUAAUAAGAUUAAAAAAGAAUUAAUGAAAACAAGAAAUUAAGAAAAUAAAUUGAAAGUAGUUAAAUCUAGAAUGAUAGAAUAAUAAUAAUAAUAAUAAUAAAAACAAUAGAAAGUUUGAUGUGUUAUUGCCGAAACCUAGAGGAAAAUUCUAUAUGAAAUAGUGGAGUUUAUGUUUUUUUUUUAAUAUAUAUAUAUAUAUAUAUAUAGGAUUUUUGGGAGAAAUAGGUAUCCAUGUAAAUAGAAAUUCUUAUGUGUAGGAGAUAAUAAUUGUAUUAAAAAAAAAUUAAUAGACUAAAACCUGGAGAUUGGUAUUCAUACAGUAAGAUUCCAAGUAUAUAGAAAGUAGAAUUACAUGGAACCUAAAAUUUGGUGCACAAUGUGAUUCUUUAUUUAAAACAAAUAGAAUUUAGUGCAUAGUAGGAUUCCUUGUUCAAAUGAAAUAGAAUUUGUUGGGAGAUACAUGGACUAAUAUUAAUUGUGAAGUUAAGAUGUAUUGUGUAUUGGUGUGAUACUGGAAGUGCAUGAGACAAACUUUUGGAGUGUUGGUAUAGGAAAUAAAGUUUUUUUAAAAAAAACUAAUCUAAUAUAAAAAUAUUGGAGGCCUCGAAUUUUAUUAUGUUAGGAUUCCAUAAUGAAUUAAAUUAAAUCAAAUUAAAUUAAUGUAAUUUAGAUUAGAUUAAUUAUAAGUGAGGGAAUUGAAAAGUUCAAGACAAUAAUUUCAAGACAAUUAAGAAAUGGAAAUUUGAUGUUUUUCCUAGAUAAAUGAAUAAUUUAUAUAUGUGUUACAAAACUAUACAUAUUUAGAAUAUAAUUAUUAUUAGAACAUUUGUUUAAAGAACCCUUAGAAUUUCUCAGGUAAUUCUUAGGAAAUUCUACUGCUUUAAUAUUUGGAGUUUGAGUCCAAUUAAGGGGACUAACUAAAUUUUUUUUUUUAUUUUAUAAAUAGUCAAAUAUAAUUUUCUUUUGAAAGUUUUAAGAAAUUGGAAAAUAAUUUUGUUAUAUUGUAUAUGUUUGCUUACACGUGUGAUAUGAAUUUUUUUGUUUAAAAGAAAAAAAAAAUUAGGACUAGUAAUCUAAUCCUUGUUAAUAAAGGAAAGUGUUUUGACUUUCAUUACCUUUGGUGAAGGUAAUGAUAAUUUGUAAACCCAAUCAUUAGAUUUGUCCUGGCUCCGCCCACCAUCAUGUAAGGAACACAUGAGGUUAGCUAUUUCUAUUAGUCUCAUUACAAUGGGCACCUCUCUAAGUCCAAAUUUUGAUGGGCAUUUUCUGUAAAAAGUUAGAAUUGUUCAUUUAAUAUGUUUGCAAAAUAAUGUUAUGCUUAAAUUAUUUUAAAAAUGACACAUGUAAUAUUAGUUGUUUUGUUGUGUUUAAAAGCAUGCUAUAAAGAUUCCUUAUUUCAUUUUUGGAAACACGCAUACUUGAUUUUCAUACCCCUCAUCGGACUUUAAACUCACUCCUUUUACUAAAAUGUUUUUAGAUAUACAUCUAAUUCUAGCAAUGAGUGAUUCGAGUAAGAGGGUUUUUCAUAGAUCCAUUUAGUUCUUAGUUUUAAGUUUAAUGUCAUAAUAACAUUUUGUUAUUAUAGUUUAAUUUAUCAUUACUAUUUUAGAUAAUAUGUUAUAUUUGAAUUAUAGAUUUCGUGCGAAAGAAUAAUUUUUUAUUAUUUCUUUGAAGAUAUAUGAUCAUUUUGAAAGUUUGCUUCUAAAAUGACCUUGGUGUUUAGCUUACGGGUCAGUAUCGUUAUACUAGACCUUCUAUUUGUAUUAUGAAACUACAUAGAUUUUUCCAUAAUAUAUUAUAUUAUAAAUUUAUCAAAUUAUUAGUUUAGCAUGAUGGCCCUAGGUUCAUAUUGAUUAAAAAAUUAUUUAAUUGAGGUUCUCUAUUAAUUAAAUAUUAAUUUAAUUGUCAGAUACUCUUAUUAUUAUUAUUUUUUAUAAAAUAUUCAAAAAUAUUCUUUGUUAUAUCUUUAACUUAAAAAUAUUUUAAAAAAAACAAGAAUAAAAAAACAUCACCAAACAAGCCCUUAUUUAUUUGUUUGUUUUUUAUGUUUUGUUUGCUAUUGUGGUUUUGUUUAGUUGUCAAGAAGUGUGAGACAGUUGAAGAAAUUGAAGUUUUUUUUUUAUAUAUAUAUUUUUUUAAUAGUAUAGGCAAAAAUUCCAAAGGUUUGAAUUGCUUCAAUUUGUUUGUUUGACUUAUGAGAAAAGGUGGGACAAAUACUUCAAUGAGUUUAUAAUCAUCAGUAGUUAACUUACUUCUCUAUCGAAAUGGUUUAAUCAUUCACACUUAAAUUAAAAGCUGGAUUAUCAAAUCCAUUUCCCUUCAUGGAAACUAGUAACUUGAUCCAUCUACUGGUCAUUUAUGGCUUGAGGUCUUGUGCCAUGCACUCUUAAGUUGAUUUCUAGCUAGAAGUCGUAGUGGUAGGGUAUUCAGGAAUCCUUGUCAUAAAAUGUUGUAAAAUUUAUUUUGUGCAAAUUGUUAAGCUACAACUCAAACCAAGGAGUUAUAUACCAUCUAGAUUGCUUGGAUGAAGAAUAUAGACCAAAUCUAUGUAUGUAUGAUAGUUGUUAAUAGGUAGCAAUAGUGGAGUUAAGCUUCAUAGGAUACUGUUUACUGAUAAAGUUUACAUCUUAUAUAGGAUGGAACGAGUUUUUGAACUUUUGUUAACAUAGAAAAACUAAUUGGGUUAGAAUUCUGGCAUAGGUUUUUGCUAUGGUGAAUCAAACAUUCGGGGGACAUCUACCUAUGACACUCCCAAGACAACUAAUUAGUUCUUCACUAGAAUGAGAUGAUCGAUCUCUAUUUGAGCAAUUGGUUAGAUUAAUCCGAUAACUUUUUUUUUAAUUCUCCCAAUAAGAAAACCUUUCUUAAUUAUUCCAACAUGAGAAAUUUUUUUUCUACCUAUGGUUUUUUCAAUGACUAAAUAUAUUUAUUCCUUAGUAUCUAGUACUUUAAGAAAAACAAAAGUUAAAUUGAUUUUAUCAAAAUCUAAAACUUAAUUAAGUCAGAUAAUUAAAAUAUAAUUAAUUGAAAGUUAUCUUAAGCACAUUAAAUUUUACCUCUUACCACCUAAAAUGAUUUCAAAUUUUAUAGUUGUGAUAGAUCCAAGUUGUCCGAAAAGGUCUAUAGAAUAUGCAUUCUUUUACUUAUAAACAAUGUCUUAAAUAGUCGAGGUAGAGUUAUAUAGGGUCAUGGAUUUCUUAUUUUAUUCGAUGUGGGAAAUCAUAAUACACACUUAUCUCCUGUGAAGAGGGACCGUAACCAGGUUGGCUCAUAUAAAAUAACUAAAUUGGAAAUUGGUCUCUAGAUCUUAACUUUGGGUCGCGUCUAGAGGACGACAAACUACCGGUCAGUGUACAGCAGAAGAGAAAGUGAGACAGGAUACUUAUACAUCUCUUGAAAUUAAUUAGUCUUUGAGUCAAAACAAAGAGGAAGCAGCUCACAAUUCCUCCAAAACAUCAUUGCAAACGUCAUAGCUCUGUUUCCCCAAAUUCGUCAUUACAAACGUCAUUCCAUACUCUGCCUUCCUUAUUUAAAGAGUCCCAUGCAGAUGCAGAUGCAGUUCGAUACACAAGUCAGAUUUGAUCAUCCUCUACAUAGACCCAACCGAAGUAUCUCCACUUCAUCUUCUUCCCCUACAAUGACACAACCCCACUUCAUUGUGAUAACCUAUCCCGCACAAGGCCACAUCAACCCUUCUCUCCAACUGGCUAAGCGCCUCAUACGUGCUGGUGCCCAUGUCACAUUCGUCACUAGCACCUAUGCCAGUGAGCGCAUGACCAAAACCCCCACCAUGGAUGGUUUAAAAUUUGUCACAUUCCCGGACGGCUGCGACAGUGGCCUCAAGCAAAGCGAUGCCCUCCAAGGCUUCAUGUCUGAGCUUGAGCGUCUUGGCUCCCAAGCUCUUACCGACCUCCUCAUAGCCAGCGCUAAUGAAGGUCGUCCCGUUACUUGCAUAAUCUACGGCAUCCUGAUUCCUUGGGUAGCAGAGGUGGCGCAUAGUCUUCACAUCCCCUCCGCACUUUUUUGGAGUCAACCUGUCUCUGUUUUUAAUAUCUAUUAUUAUUAUUUUUGUGGCUAUGGAGAGGUCAUUCGCAAGAAAGUCAGUGACUCCUCGCCUUCCAUUGAAUUACCAGGACUGCCCUUGCUCGGUAGCCGUGACAUUCCCUGUUUCCUACUCCCCUCAAAUGCAAAUGAAUACAACUUUGUCCUUUCAGCGUUUCAGAAGCACGUAGAGAUGCUCCACCGUGACACCAACCCAACGGUACUGAUAAACACUUUCGAUGCAUUGGAACCAGAGGCCCUAAGGGCCGUCAGUAAGUUUAAGUCGAUUGGAGUUGGACCCUUGUUUCCAACCGCUUUCUUGGGUGGAAAAGAUCCAUCCGAUACUUCAUUUGGAGGUGAUCUGUUCCGUCGUUCAAAGGAUUAUAUUGAAUGGCUGAACUCAAAGCCUGAAUCUUCUGUCAUUUAUGUGUCAUUUGGAAGCCUCGCGGUGUUAUCGAAGCAACAGUCAGAGGAGAUUGCUCGUGGAUUGCUGGACAGUGGCCGGCCUUUCCUGUGGGUCAUAAGAGCCAAGGAGAAGGGAGAAGAGGAGAAAGAAGAAGAUAAACUAAGUUGCUACGCAGAAUUAGAACAACAAGGUAUGAUAGUACCAUGGUGUUCUCAGGUUGAGGUUCUCUCAAAUCCAUCACUGGGUUGUUUCGUGACUCAUUGUGGGUGGAAUUCAACCUUGGAGAGCUUGGCUUCUGGGGUGCCAGUUGUGGCAUUUCCUCAGUGGACCGACCAAUCCACGAAUGCAAAGCUAGCCGAAGACGUGUGGAAAACGGGUGUACGGGUGACCGUGAACCAAGAAGGAAUAGUUGAAAGCGAUGAGAUUAAGAGGUGCUUGGAAUUGGUCAUGGGAGAUGGAGAGGAGGCGAAAGAAAUGAGAAGGAAUGCAAAGAAAUGGAAGGGUUUGGCAAGGGAGGCUGUGAUGGAAGGUGGAUCAUCUGACAAGAAUCUUAAGAAUUUUAUGGAUGAGGUCAUACAAGGUUACUAGCUAGAUAUUGUGGUUGUAUCUCUUGGAGUUUAUGUUAAGACUCCCCGAUUAAUUUAAAUAUUUUACAAGAAGAUUUUUAUUAUUUAUGAUGUUAAUACAAGUAGUAGUAUUAAUUAAUGGUAGAGGGCAUAUCUAAAAUUAUGGGAGAUUCAUUGCUUCCUGAAGGCCCUAUCACAAAGGAUCUGUCAAAUGCGUGGCUAAGGUGCUGUUUGGUAAAUGUCCGUUACCAGCCAAAAUUUUGCAAUUAUUGCUAAUGGGAAUCAGGGAAACCCCAAACUGGCCUUGAUGGUCCUUGCGUGAAGACCCAUCCAAUUCUUUACAUUGUGGCCACUGAUUUGGUGUCUUAUCCUCUCAUGCCCAUCACUUCAUGUUUACAAAUUGAUAUUGUAUUCAUAGCUAUUUUUUAUGAAGGUUCAAUUGGCAAGAAGUAUUUUUGCCUUGGGAAGAUGUUGGUUAUGGAUUUAAAGCAAAAUAAAAGAUUAAAAAAAUGAUCCUUGUACAAAUUUUUGGGUGCCUCUAUUAAUUAAGUGAAUAUUAUUAUUUAAUUGAUAAAUUAAUAAUUUAUUAAUUUAAUUACUUAUUAAUUAGAUCUCUGGAAUAAUUCUAUUAUGGAACCUAUCUUGCACUAAGAAGCAUCCAUAGCGAUAAUAAUAUUAAAUAAAUUUUUGUUAUAGUACAAGAAUGUUACAUCAGACCUUUUUUUUUUUUUUUUUCAUAUUAGGAAUAGUUAAAGAUGAGAUUUAAGUAAACAUAAGUUUUAAGAAAAAAUAACACAUAUAUUUUACGAAGGAUUCUUGAUAAAACAUAUGAAUUUAAUUAUAUAUUAGAAAAUUAUUAAUUUUUAUAAUAUGUGGAUUUUAUAUGAAACUACAUAGAUUUUUUUUAUAAUGUAUUAUUUUAUAAAUUUAUCAAAUUAUUAGUUUAGCACGAUGACCCCAAAUUUAGAUUAAUUAAAAAAAUAUUUAAUUGAAGUUCUUAAUUAAUUAAAUAUUAAUUUAUUAUAAAGUUUUAUUGUAUUUUAUUUUCAUGUUCUGAAAACUAGUCGAUUUGAUUGGUUUGAGCAUUGAUUGACUAUGUAUUUUACAUAUGAGAUCGAUUAUGAGUUGCACUUUCAUCCCAAGGUAUUUAAAAAUUAGGAAAAUCAAUCCCAAGGUAUCUAUUUUACUUUUCUUAGUCUAUUCACCAUUGUCCAAACACUCCAUAAGUGGAAUGUAACUUGGAGGGGCUUGAAUAUGCAGAAUUUUAUAAUUUUGCACAUUAAUGUCUCAGAGUGUUAAAAUCUUUUACAACUAAUUGUAGAUAAGUUUAGUAUUGACAAAUAAUUUUAUUACAAUUAAAUUAUUUUUUAAUUUAUAAAAAGGUUAAAAUAAAGAUAUUUAAGAAAUAUAGUACCUUAACAAUUAAAAAUAACAUUGGUUGAUGAUAUCUAAGAAAUUCAAUGUUUUCUUCAACCUAAAAUGAAUAUAAAAAUUUGGUAUGAGGAUUGUUUGCUCGACUAUUGAAACUUAUUGACAACAUAGGAAGAGACAAAACUUUUGGGGAUAUAUUAAUAGAGUGAGGAAUUUGGUACUUGAUUCAUAGAGUAAAAGUUGAACAAAAGCAUCAAGAAACAUCGGGGUUGGAAAUGAUAGUGCACUUUUUAAAAGUCAUAGGUGGAAAGAGGGAAAAUUAGAACAGAUGAACCUUAAUUUUUUGGUAUUUUUGAUAGGUGUUUAGUAAAAUAAUUUAAUAUUACAAUUUAUAGUUAAAAAUGACUUAGUAUAUAAGCAGUUAAAAUGAUUUAGGGCUUGUUUGACCGUGUUUUUUAAAAUUUUCUUUUAAAAUAGAGAAUAAAAAUAGUGAACAUCAAGUUGUUGGAUGGACCAAUUUCUACUCAAUGCCAAAGACAGAACCACACGAAUAGUAGUUAGUUUAACCACAAAACUAAAGGUUUCAAGGAAAUCAAAACCGUGAGUUUGAUGAAAUCCUUUCACCGCUAAAUGUGCCUUAUAACAAUCAAUAGUUCCAUUAGGUUUAAACUUCAAUUUAUAAACCCAGUAACAUCUAAUGGUAUUCUGAUUAGACCAAGGAAGAAUGAUGACCUAUGUUUUAUUUUUCAUAAGAGCUUCAAAUUCAAGAUGCAUAGCCUAUUGCCAUUUAGGAACUUUAGCAAUUUCCUUAAAGGAAUUCAGUUCACAAAGUGGGGGAAAAAUAGUCUUAGUAGGAGACAAAAAUAACUUGAGUUCGAAAAUGCCAUUUUUGGCACGCAUUAUCAUGAGAUGACAAGUAUAGUAUGAACAUAAGAGGAAAGAGGUUGGGUUGUUGGAAUAGGUAUAACCUUAGAAAAGGAAAUUGGCACACUAGAAUUAGAUAUUGGAACCAACUUUGAAGGUGGACAUAAUGGGGGAGGUAAGAGGGAAGAUAUUGGAGAUGAUGGUACUACCAAGGGAAUGACACAAUGAGAGAGGGAAACAUAAUAAGGAGUCUGAACUAUGGAAGACUUAGCAAAUGGGAAAUCUAGUUCAUAAAAAAUAACAUGUUGUGAUAUAUGUAUUUUAUGAUUGGACAUGUUUAAAUAAAGAUAUUCUUUAUGCUUAGAACUAUAGUUGAUAUUUUAACGGAUUGAUAUGCAAGUUUAUGACAAUUAAAAGGAUGUAGAAAAGGAUAACAAAUGCAACCAUAGACAUGAAGAUAAUAAUAAUUUGGUAGACAAUGGUAAAGAGUCUUAUACGGAUCAAGAAGAGAUAUUCAACAUAGAGGUAGGAAGUCUAUUAAUCAAAUAUAAGGUAGAUUGGAAAGCAAAAGGUCAAUAUUUAAGUGGAAUAGAAGCAUGAGCAAGCAAAGAAAGACAUAUUUCAACCACAUGUCUAUGUUUUCUCUCCACAUGACCGUUUUGUUGAAAAGUAGAUGGACAAGAUACUCUAUGCAGAAUCCUAAAUUUACAUAAAGUAUCAAUAAAGGCUUGAAACUCCCCUCCCUAAUUAGUUUGAAGCACUCUAACUUUAGUGUAAAAUUGAGUCUCAAUUAUCACUUUAAAUUGCAAAAAAGCAGAGAUAGCUUGAUUUUUAGAAGCUAGUAGAUACAACCCCAAGAAAAUCUUGUAUGGUCAAUAAGAAAAAAGUACAAAGUAUCUUGCUCCAUUAGCACCAACAAUAGCGGUAGGACCCCAUAGAUCAAAAUGUAUAAGAGCAAAAGGCUAAGAGACUCUAGAUUUAGACAAAGUAAAAGGUAAGUGAUGACUCUUUGCCAUUUGACAAGGUUCACAAAUACCUAUCCAAUGUUUUGAGGGCAUACUAUAAGCACUCAAAACUUUAUUGACUAUUUUACGUGCAAGAUGACCUAAUUAAAAUGCCAUAGAACUACCUUAUUGGGAAGUUGUAAUGCAAAUAACAUACACAGGACCUCAAUUGCCAAGCUUGUUCUUCUAACAAUUUUAUUACAAUUGGAAUCUAUAUUUUUUACCAGAAGCUGAAGAUGACAAUUUGUAUAAACCAUGGUUAAGGUUGCCUUGGAGAAGAGCCUUCUUUGAAGCUUGAUCCUUCAUCACAAAUCCAUUAGUAAAGAAUUCCACAGUAACAUUAUUGUCAGUACACAACUUAUUCACACUUAUCAGAUUGGUUGUAAGUUGUGGAACAUGUAAAAUAUUCUUUAGAUUUAAAGACUGAGAAACCGACAAAAUAGUAGAGUAUCCAAUAUUUGAGAUAUUUAAGCAAUUACCGUUUCCAAUGACGACUUUGUCCAAACUAGCAAAUGGAGUAUGUGCAUUCAAGUUGUUGAAAUUUAGAGUUAGGUGAUAUGUAGCUCUAGUAUCCAUGUACCAACUUCCAUCUCCAAUAGUGGCCAGAGUUGCAAUCAUUGCAGCAAGAUGAGGUUACUCAAUUCUUAGGGUUCUUCUUUCUCAUUGGUUUUUGACUCAGAUGAGUUAACUUAGUUCCUAGAGCUCUUCCUCAAUGACAAACAAUUCUGAUUAGAGUGUGGCAAUGAGUUCAAUGAGCAAGCUGGUGAUUGGUCAAGGCCUCACCAGUGAUGAGGAUGUUGGUGAUAGCAACAAUCUAGUUGGAGAAAUGAUUUUUUCCAACACCUUCAAACACCGUAAAAAUGAUCAUAUCAUCAUCAUGAUCUUAGAUAAGAGAAACUUAAAGUUUUUUUUUUUAUUUCAAUUUCAAAUUCAAAACAAAAUUGCAGAGCACUAGAUACAAAAAAAAGAAAAAAGAAAAUAAAAGAACAAAAAAUCACUAUAGAAACCUUAGAAAACACACUAGGAAGAAAAAUCAUAGACAAACUCACAGAAGAAUUUUAUGGCUUUAGGAGUCGGAGCCGGAGCUAGAGAAGAGUCUUAAUGGACAUUGAGGAGGGACAAGAAGAGGUGUUCAACUAUAAUUUAUAUAGGCUAUAUAUAUUGUAAAUGUUGGCUUUAAAAUGUAUCUGGUAGUGACCCAAUGGAAGUGGAGUCUAUAGGAACAUCUAUGGUAGCGAUCCAAAAAUUAUUGCAGUUAUAGGAGAAUAUAUAAUAGCACUUUCAACAGUAAUCGUGACUAUGUAUAUUUCCUGGAAAAUUUCCCACCAAUCCCAAUCUCAAUCCCUUUAGAUGCAUGUGGUUGGAAUAUGCAUGAGGCCAUAUAUUAUGCGGUUGGGAUAUGAAUGAGGCUAUAUAAUAUUUUUAGUUGUGGAUUUUCUUAGCCCCUACUAAAACUAUAUUGCCAUUUCCUAUUCUUCUUGUAAUGUCAAGUUGGAAAGUCAAACUUAAUUUAAAAACUUUUUAAAUAUUAAACUUAGAGUUAGAGUUAGGUGGUGUUUGUUUUUUUUUUUUGUUGAAAACAAUUUGUUUUCAGAAUUUAAGUCGUUUGUUUUUCUAUUUUUUCAUGACUUAUUAUAUACUUUUUACCAAACAGAAAAAACCAAAAUAUGUAGUUUUUUCUAAAUAGAAAAAAUAAUAUGUUCAUUUUUUUUACUUUUUAAUACUUAAUAGAAAUAAAAUACUACAAAAACAAACAACCUAAUAUUUAACAUUAUUAAGUAUUAAGGUUCUAUUUAGAAUUAAAUAAAAAAAAAUAAAUGCCACAUUAGUUUCUAAAUGUUAAGGAGAACAUUUUAUUUUGAAUGAUUAUUUAGUGUUUGUAUUUGAGUAGUUAAGUCGUCAAAGGUCUCUGUAUUUGAUUAUUAAGAGUUUCUAUUUGGAUAAAUGUGAGUAUAUUUAUAAACAAAAAUUCAUAUAUAUAAUAUAUAUAUAUAUAUUUUAAAAAAGCAAUAGAAUACAAUAAAUUUUUAAUUCUCUCCUAUUUUAUCUUUUUUAUAAGUGUGUGUUUCUCUUUCAUCUAGACAACUCACACAAUACUAACACAAUGAGAGUAAAAGGAGAAGGGCAACAAAGAGUUGGAGCCGGAGAUCAUUGGAGGAACGGGUCAACUGUAGGCCGGUUGUCCAUGGGCUCAUAUAAGUAACAAAAAUUGGAAAUGGUUUCUAUAUCUUAGUGUCGUCUAGAAGACGACAAUCUACCUGUCAGUGUGCAGCAGAAGAGAAAGCGUGAUAUCUACUUCGAGUCAAAACAAAAGGGAACCAGCUCGCAAUUCCUCCGAUACAUCAUUACCGACGUCAUAGCUCUAUUCCCCCAAUUCGUCACUACCAACUUCAUUCUAUCUCCAUUACGCAUUAUUUAAAGAGUCCCCAUGCAGAUGCUGUUCGAAACACAAGUCAGCUUUGACACAACCCCACGUCAUUGUGAUAACCCAUCCGGCACAGGUCCCUGUCCAAAGACCCAUCUUACUCUUUACAUUGUGGCCACUGAUUUAGUAUCUAAUCUCAGGCAAAAUUCACUGGUUUGAUGAAGGUUAUAGAACAAAACUUGUGUUAUUCUUAUCUUUGUUUUUGAUGAACUUUAAAGCAUUUAAAAAGAUUCAACUGGUAAGAAGUAUUUUUGCCUUGGGAAGAUGUUGGUUAUGGAUUAAAAGCAAAAAAGACCCUUGUACAUAUUUUUGGGUACCUGUCAAGCAAAUUAAUGCACAUCCGAACAUCACAACUGUUGUCUCUUAAAUUCUUCCAAUUGACCUGCUUUCGUCUUAUUGAGCGUCUGGGUUACUUGAUAAUGCAAAAACUCAUACAGUUAUUUCGAUAAAUUAAGAGCCUCAGGCAUCAAGGAAAAUCUAUUAUUACUUAAUCGAUAAAUUAAUAAUUUAUUAAUUUAAUUGCUUAUUAAUGAGAUCUCUUGAAUAAUUCUAUUAUGGAACAAGACACCAUAACAAUAUUAAAUAAAUUUUUGUCACAGUGUAAGAAUGCCGCAAUAGAUGUAAUAUGAGAAUGUGAUAUUUAAUUAUGGGCCUCCGCUUAAAAUAAGUAAAUAAAUAAUUAAUAAUUAAAAUUUAAAUAAAAUAAAUAAUUAAUUAAUAAUUAAAAUACAAAUACUAGACUCACAUUCUGAGCAGCCGCUUCUAAACUCUUAUACGCUACAAAAAAACAUACACAAAGAAAUCUAGGAUUCUAGAUUUAAGUGAAGAGAAAGAGGAUUUGAUCUUUUUGUUCUUUCUCGAAAAUUUCAUGGUAAGUGAUACUUCUUAAAGAUUUUUUUUUUCAGUUUUUCUUCUUAGAAACUUUAAUUUCCUAAUAAGAUUCAGAAAUAAUUAAUAAAAACAAGAAAUUAAGAAAUACAUUGAAAGUAAUUAAAUCUAAUAUGAUAGAAACCUAAUAAUAAUAAUAAAAAUAAUAGAAAGUUUGAUGUAUUAUUUCUGAUACCUAAAGGAAAAUUCUAUAUGAAAUUGUGGAGUUAAUGUUUUUUUUUUUAAAUAUAUAAUAAUAACAAAAAACAAUAGAAAGUUUGAUGUGUUAUUGCGUAAACCUAGAAGAAAAUUCUAUAUGAAAUAGUGGAGUUAAUGUUUUUAAAAUAUAUAUAUAUAUAUAUACUAGAAAUUCUUAUGUGUAGGAGAUAAGAAUUCUAUUGGAGGCCUCCAAUUUUAUUAUGUUAGGAUUCCAUAAUGAAUUAAAUUAAAUUAAAUUAAUAUAAUUUAGAUUAGAUUAAUUAUAACUGUGGGAAUUGAAAAGCUUAGGAUGACAAUUAAGAAAUGGAAAUAUGAUAUUUUUUCUAGAUAAAUGAAUAAUUUAUAUAUAUGUUAAAAAACUAUAUAUAUUUAGAAUAUAAUUAUUAUUAGAACAUUAGUUUAAAGAACCCUUAUAAUUUCUCAGGUAAUUCAAAGGAAAUUCUACCGCUUUAAUAUUUGGAGUUUAAGUCCAAUUAAGGGGACAAAUUAAAAAAUAUUUAAGUAUAAUUUUCUUUUGAAAGUUUCAAGAAAUUGGGAAAUAAUUUUGUUAUAAGGUAUAUGUUUGCUUAGAUGUGUGAUAUGAAUUUUUUUUUGUUUAAAAGAAAAAAAAAAUAGGACUAGUAAUCUAAUCCCUGUUAAUAAAGGAAAGUGUUUUGACUUUGGGUCAUAUAAAGUAACUAAAUUGGAAAAUGGUCUCUAGAUCUUAACUUUGGGUCGCGACUAGAAGACGACAAACUACCGGUCAGUGUACAGCAGAAGAUAAAGUGAGACAGGAUACUUAUACAUCUCUUGAAAUUAAUUUGUCUUUGGUCAAAACAAAGAGGAAGCAGCUCACAAUUCCUCCAAAACAUCAUUGCAAACGUCAUAGCUCUGUUUCCCCAAAUUCGUCAUUCCAUACUCUGCCUUCCUUAUUUAAAGAGUUCCAUGCAGAUGCAGAUGCAGUUCGAAACACAAGUCAGAUUUGAUCAUCCUCUGCAUAGACCCAACCGAAGUAUCUCCACUUCAUCUUCUUCCCCUACAAUGACACAACCCCAUUUCAUUGUGAUAACCUAUCCGGCACAAGGCCACAUCAACCCUUCUCUCCAACUGGCUAAGCGCCUCAUACGUGCUGGUGCCCAUGUCACAUUCGUCACUAGCACCUAUGCCGGUGAGCGCAUGGCCAAAACCCCAACCAUGGAUGGGUUAAAAUUUGUCACAUUCCCGGAUGGCUGCGACAGUGGCCUCAAGCAAAGCGAUGCCCUCCAAGGCUUCAUGUCUGAGCUUGAGCGUCUUGGCUCCCAAGCUCUUAUCGGCCUCCUCAUAGCCAGCGCUAAUGAAGGUCGUCCCGUUACUUGCAUAAUCUACGGCAUCCUGAUUCCUUGGGUAGCAGAGGUGGCGCGUAGUCUUCACAUCCCCUCCGCACUUUUUUGGAGUCAACCUGUCUCUGUUUUUAAUAUCUAUUAUUAUUAUUUUUGUGGCUAUGGAGAGCUCAUUCGCAAGAAAGUCAGUGACUCCUCGCCUUCCAUUGAAUUACCAGGACUGCCCUUGCUCAGUAGCCGUGACAUUCCCUGUUUCCUACUCCCCUCAAAUGCAAAUGAAUACAACUUCGUCCUUUCAGCGUUUCAGAAGCAC
rnacentral:lncRNA from 1 species